GGAAUCUUAAAUUUGAGUAUUAGUCAAAGCUAGCAAUACAUAUUAAUUUCAAUUGCAUAAUUAUUCAUAAUUGUACAAACAUAGUGACGGCAUAGGCAUUUCAAACGCACCCAAAUCAUGAAAAUACAUAAGCAGCAGACAAAUUAAAAAUUAUUAGUAUAAAAAUUUUCAAGACCUAGUAUAAUACUAGUAUUAACUUAUAGCUUAGAUGCUGCAACAAAAUCCUUGACCUGGGAGAUCAAUUGGGAGGACUCUGCCAAUUCGGGGAAGAUGUAAAAAGCAUGAAUCAUAUUUGGAUAUUCUAUCAGACUUGCAUCUUUUCCGGAUCUCUUUAGCCAUUCGUAGUAUCUCCUCUGCCAAUCCUGUAAAGGGUCCCACCCGGCUACAAACACCAACGUUCUUGGAUAAUCCAGACCUGAAAUAUCCUCCGCAUUAGGUCCGCUCACGUUCACCGCGUAAUGGUCCCGAUUCAUCCCUUCCGGCAGAAACACCUUCCAACACCAAUCUGUUCGAGGAACCGAAACCAACAGCGACCCAGUCAGUCGGAUCUCCGACUCGGUUCUCUCCUCUCCUCCAAAAAACGGCUGUAUAGAUAUUAAUCCAACAACCUUAGCGACCCGAAAUCGUGUCCGGCAUGCCUUAACCGCCACGUGAUGAGCCAAGUUUGCCCCGGCACUAUCUCCAGCAAGGAAACAUUUUGAUAAAUCCGCAUUGGCUGGCAACGCCGUGGUGUGAUUCUCAUCAAGGAAUUUGAGGACGUCAAAACCGUCAUCAUAUUGACAAGGGAAGCAGUGUUCAGGGGUGAGACGGUAGUUGACGGAGAUUACGAUGGCAGGGAGUCUACGUGAGAAUCUGCGGCAAGCGAUGUCGUAAUAUCUGCUUGCAGCGCUAAGAAACGAAAAUCCUCCUCCAUGGAAGAAAAUCAUCACCGGGAGAACAUUGUUGCUGCCCUUAUCGUUAGGUAAGGAGUCAUCGUGAAGCAUAUUCGCGCAACAAGCUGCUGCUGCUGUCUCUGUUGUACUUCCGGUUGGGAAGUAUAGGCGAAACCAUAAGUUGCGGGUGCUGUCAACCAUGGUGUCGAAGGAGAUAACGGAACGGAUUGGUUUGGUGGGGGAAGGAGGUGACUUGAAGUCGAAGAAGUUGAGGAGACGGCGGUUUAUGGUGCGGUCGGAACGGCGGGUGGCAUCCGAAAAGGUUGAAAUGAGUGAGACGGUGAGACGUGUCUUCCAUGGAAGAGCUGGUUGUGUUGGUGCUGUUUCAGGGCUUGCUUUGCUGCCCAUUGCAGGCUCUGGUUUAAU
rnacentral:misc_RNA from 1 species